rnacentral:rRNA from 1 species
GAAGCGGCCACACCCGGCUGGCAACAUCCAGCUCCACUCCGAACCUGGAAAUUAAGCAGUCGCGGGCCACAUCAGUACUGGGCUGGGCGACUUCCCGGGAACGUGCGGUGCUUGCUUCUUUUUCCUUUUUGCGCGGUGCAGGGCUAUUGCCUGCACCAAUACUACACUCUACACCUAUGUUUGUCCCUGCUAAAACUCUUAUAUGUUGAGAUAUUUUAUAAUUUUAUAUUUUUUAUUAAAAAAUGAAAAUUUUUCAUAAGCGAGACUCCCUCCGCUGGAGGAAAUUGAGAGUGGUAAUGGUAGUGUGAAUAGUGUGUGACGAACAAUCCUUUC